AUGUGGGCUAAAGUGAAUCCCUAUGGAGGAAUGAAGCCUUUUCAUGAAGGGAACGUCAGAGUGAAAAAGAGGACCUCCUUUUCAGGGCUAGGAUGGAUAACAAAGGCUACACAAGCCAAGGGAUAUAAAAUUAUCCAAUGUAUCCUGGAGUCGGAGAGGCUGAUCAGAGAGUGUGCAGAAGAGAUCCACUGUUCUUAGAUAUGAAGCACUGAACUUGAAAUUUUGUAGUGAAGAAUGUCGGAAGAAGGCAAAUGCCCUUAGAGAUACUAUAAACGGUUGUGGUUGCAGCCAGGAGUUAAAGUAUGAUUCAACGAACCAUUCAUUCUAACGAAGAUUGGAUAGACACGCACAGAGAAAGAGAAUCAAGAGAACUAAAUGGGGAAAAAAUGGGAACCAGAAUAGUCCUGUAGUCACCUCCUAAUAAAUUAAAGGUAUCAUUAAUUUCCUAAUAAAGAGAAAUUGGAAAUAGUCAUUAGAAAUCAAACGUAUUUUGUCAAGUCUAUCAUUAAGCUUACAUUAACGGCCUAGUAAAUACAUUUAGUUAUUAUAAAUGCAUACUGUAAGUUUAAGUUCUGGCUAUAAAAUUUCUUUCUUUUUUUUUAAAAUCACACGAAUAGAUGUAAAGGUAGCCAUUUAAUUUGUGAAGACCUAACCAGUAACUGAAGCUUAGAAUCUGGGAUUCAGAAAGGAAAUAGUUUUUUCUAGUGUUCCCAGUGCCCAUUAUAACCAGUCUAUCAGGCCAGCACUUAGGGGAAAUAAGGUGAGCAGGAAGAGAAACUUUUUAAAGUGCACUGAGGAAGAACUCAUGAAAUAAAACAGGAAAGUAUUUAAAGUAUUCGCUGGGUUGUUAAGAGCCAAGUUUCAUCAAGGUAGCUAUUUUCUCUAGCUUCCAGAUUUUAUUUAUGUUGGCUCAAUGGAAAACUUUCCUCAUGGUAAAGGACAUUCAAGCAGGUGUCAGGCACUAGGAAUAAUGUCAGAUAUUCAUUACCCAAUUUAGAAAUAUCACUGAAUUAAAACUGAGUUAAACUGAAUUAAAACUGAUCAUUAACCCAAAGUUUAUUAGUAAGGUGUAAUAUCAAAAUUAAAC
rnacentral:lncRNA from 1 species